rnacentral:rRNA from 1 species
UACGUAGGGGGCAAGCGUUGUCCGGAAUCAUUGGGCGUAAAGCGCACGUAGGCGGCUUUGUAAGUUAGAGGUGAAAGCCCAGGGCUUAACCCUGGAAUUGCCUUUAAGACUGCAUCGCUAGAAUCGUGGAGAGGUGAGUGGAAUUCCGAGUGUAGAGGUGAAAUUCGUAGAUAUUCGGAAGAACACCAGUGGCGAAGGCGACUCACUGGACACGUAUUGACGCUGAGGUGCGGAAAGCGUGGGGAGCAAACAGG